UGCCUGUGAUUCAACAAACAAACCAAACUAUGCCUAAAAUAAAGAUUAUUUACAGAGAGAAGAAAACUAGGUCUUCCACUAUUUUGCUUUCAAUUCUUGCAUCUUGGAUUAAGAAAACCUCUCUACUUUGAGCGGGAGUUCAACUGACCGGGAGUUAGACAUGCACUGGCCACCAGGGGGCGGCGUGGAACAUGGCAGGCAUUGGCGACAUGCGCUGGCAGCGGGUGGCAAUGGCGGCGCUGCUGGCUCCAAUGGGCCCCAACGAGAGUGGGACCACUCGGGGAUGGUGGAGCUGACAACCUCAAACGUCACAAGUACCUGUCGACACUGCACAUGUGUUCACUCACUUCAUCUGAUAAAGAUUAUUGGUGCCUCUGUGGUCAAUGUCAUGGCAGAAAGCAGCAGCGAGCAUGGCAAAAGCUUCGAGAACUACUGAUCUAGACUGAUGGACUGUCUCCGGUUCUCGCUCGCCAUGCUCACAGGGAAAUGUGCAGGUUUAUGAUUGACAGCGCUCUGGACCUACCAUCAGCAAAGUGAACAUGGUCUGCCCCACAUUGAAUCCGUGCCGCCAGUUGUGGUGAUUUUAAGCAAGACAGAAAUGGGUGGAGCAGUGAGGACCUUCUCCUUGGUCAUGUCCAGCAGUCCAAUGGAGUACCGCUCACAGUUCAGCAGAGAGGAAGUAGAUCUUCCCAGAUACAAGCCUCACGUGGUAGAUGCAGGAGAAGAUUCUAAUACACUCACCAUGGAAAGAGCAGAGAGGUGAGUUUGGUAAGAUUUUGCCACAGUGACGGAAAGGUGGUGAACUUGCAGAGCAUGGACUGCUGGCUACCAGGGGUCGGGGACUAGAUGAAAAAAAUGAAGGGAUUACAAGUACAGAUUGAUAGUUACAGAUCAGUCAUGGGUGCCAGGUGAAAGAAUCCAUUUGGGAGCCAAUCCACUCCAAAGACGUGUGUGCUGUGGGUGAGAGGCAUGGGGAGCGGCAUCUGACUGUUGGCUGAGCUCCCCAGGGGCAGCCUGUGUGGUGUUGUUAGAAGCAUGUGCCCAGAGCAUGGAGGUGUAAGCGAAGGUGUGAACUGUACCUGGCCCAGGGGCUGUGCCCUCCUGGCCCCCCUGUAUUUGCUGUGAGCCAUGUGGACCCCACACAAUGGACUGAUGGACUGCAACUAGCUAAUGCUAUACUGGACCCAACUCCAUCACAGAAAGGAAACUUUGGAUGCUGACUUUGCUUUUAGCUUUGUUGAAUCCCCAGCUACACAUUUUCCAGGACUGGAUUAAAGGAAAUGGGACUUUGGAAACCCAGGGAUGUAAUUCCACGCAGAUAAAAAUCACUCAUCCUCCCGUGUGAGUCUCAGAAAAGUCUCUCAAGAUAUUGUAAAUACUUCAAAUCCCACUAGCAAUGGAGAAAGACCAUCCACAUGGUCUUUAUUCCCUGAUAACAGCAGGCAUGUCAGGCACAUCCUGGCAGCUAACUGCAAAGGGCCCUUUCACCUUGGCCUUUUGCACCUAAUUGAUGGAUAUGACCAGGCAUCUCAGAGAUUAUUAAUCAAGUAACUAAAUUGAUUAAAUUUAAUGACAGCUUUGUUACCACUGAAAAAACCACGUUGAAAAAAAUGAGUUUGACUUUUUGUACUGGGACAUGUUGGCUGAAUAAUCUUCAUUUUCUCACCAAUUAUUUUGUCAUCUUUUGAAUGCAGUCAGAAGAUAAUUGCUACCCAUUUUUUCUGUUUCUGUUUUUCCUUAUCUGUCAGGAUAUGGAUGUAAAUGUCACUUUGUACAAAAGGGAACUGGUUGGAAAUGCUUAAUUUUUAUAAUGGUAAGAGCAUACAUUUAUUGCAUCAGAUCUUCUUUCAAUUAUGGUAAAACAUUUUUCAAUAUUUCCUAGGAGUUAGUGGCUUGUUUGCUGAUGCAUUCAUUAAGGUAACACUAAAUCUGUUACUACAGGUAACCCCAAAUUUCAGCAGCUUAAUCCAAUGAGAGUUUAUUUCUCAUUCACAUAAAAUUAAUCAUUGCUGGGGGUCCCAGGCUGAUGGAGGCUCUACCAGUGGCCAGGUGAGAAAGGAGAGAGAGCCAGGAAAAUUGGAUGGGCAGCUUUCAUGAGCCCUAUCUCCGUGCACACAGCACACAGCACUUUAGUCCACCUUCUAUUGACCAAAACUUAGGCCUAUGGCCUUACAGAGAUGCAGGAAGUGGGGAGGUUCCUUUUGGCCAAUCCCUCUUCCCCAAAAGUGUACAUAAUGGAAGGAGAGUACAAAUUUUUUUUGAUAGAAGGAUGGUUAGCCCCCUCUGCUACAAGGACUAAAUCCUGAGAAAUUAUAUUUUAGAAAGAAUGACUGCUGACCAGGUUUUUUUAAAUAAACGUUUUAUUGAAGCUUACCUAAAAUGACUAAUUUUAUCACAACAAAUUAAAUCAAUAUCUAUUGAUUGAAUCCCUACUAUGUGCAAGUCUUUUUUUAAAUAUAUUUUUAUUGAUUUCAGAGAGGAAGGGAGAGGGA